rnacentral:lncRNA from 1 species
UAUGAGGUUAUGUGUUGAUUGGGACGCCUUUGGGUACAAGCGGCUGGUUUUUGGUUGUGCUGCACUAACCUAUGAUGCACAAGGUGAGCCCCAAUUUUGUUUACAUAUCCUUGUUUGUUUGUGUUGAAUAUCAAACAUGUAUCACGCAGAAAAGAAAAGAACAUUGAACAUUUUCCCUUUAUUGCUAUGACGAUAUAGUGAUACACAGAACAGGAUUCAGUAUCUGUGCAUGUGGUGUUUUUGUCUAGUGAAGGUUGGCAUUGGCACUAAGCUCCUCUACUGGGUUUAUCAUGUUCUUAGUAAUAGGCCAAAGGUGAUGAAAACACUGAUGUAGGAAUAUCAUAGUGCUAGUUUUACAUGUAUGGUUUAUGUUGCCAUUAUGGGCUCAUUAAGCGUAAACAUUGAGUUAUAUCAUGUUGAAGCAGUGGGAGCACGUGUUGUUCCUCUGACGAUUCAGUUGUUAACAUUUAUCCAUGUCAUAUGAAAUCAUCAAGCUUGUAAAUCCAUGGCUUGUUCUCCCUAACAAAUAUGUAUCUGAUCUAGUUCAUUCUCCUUGUAAACAGGAUGGAGACAAAGACAAAGCACUCGCUACCGCCUUCGAUCAUGAGGCCUUCCCAUUCUCCAGACCUCCCUCGUGCGCUCAUAGACGGCGUGCCAGACUGACUAGUCGACCCGAUGUUUCAUUUUUCGCAUUCCCCAGUGCUUCUAACGGCGUUCCAAUUCAAGCGCGACCCGGACAUGCUGCGGAGCAGUUCAUGUCAGCAUCCUUGAUCUUAUUAUGCAUACAUAGGUUUCCUUUAGGCUUUAUUAGGGGAGAAGCUCAUGCAGUGUGACUGUCAGUUUCAGAAGGGUAGUAGAACGCUGCUGUCACGGUGCUUGCUGGUUCGGUUCUGGUUUAGCGAGGCUGCCAGCAUUCUUAGAUGUAAAAAAAUCUAGUCGUCAGAUCAAGUGUUUCAGUGCCUUACUC